GACGAACGCUGGCGGCGUGCUUAACACAUGCAAGUCGAGCGGUAAGGCCCUUUCGGGGGUACACGAGCGGCGAACGGGUGAGUAACACGUGGGUGACCUGCCCUCAGCUCUGGGAUAAGCCUGGGAAACCGGGUCUAAUACUGGAUAUGACUCCAUGACGCAUGUUGUGGGGUGGAAAGCCUUGUGCGGCUGAGGAUGGGCCCGCGGCCUAUCAGCUUGUUGGUGGGGUGAGGCCUACCAAGGCGACGACGGGUAGCCGGCCUGAGAGGGCGACCGGCCACACUGGGACUGAGACACGGCCCAGACUCCUACGGGAGGCAGCAGUGGGGAAUUUUGGACAAUGGGGGCGAACCCUGAUCCAGCCAUGCCGCGUGAGUGAAGAAGG
rnacentral:rRNA from 1 species